CCUGAGGACACAUCCCCAGCUCCCGGGGUGCAGGGUAGCCCUGGCACAGCACGGAGGGCUUUUCCCUGUGUGGAAAGGGCUUUUGCUUUCUGCUUGGGGCUCCUGCAGCAGGUGGGCAGGAGCUGGCAGGGACAUGCCCCUGCAGGCAGCACUGCCAGUCCCCUCCCUGGCACAGCAGGGUGAUGCCCAGCAUGCCGCAGGGCUGGGCACUGUGAGCGUCCUCUGCCCCAUCCCACAGGCGGACGGUGGUCCACGGCAGGGUCUCCCGUGUGCCACAGAGCUCUGGGGACCAUCAGAGCAGCAGCCCCACAACGCAGAACAUCAAGGCUUCCCCACAUACCAGUGCGCAGCUCCAGCGUCUCCUGGUACUGCACAACAAGCCCAGUGUGACCCUGCUGCAGCGCAGUGAUGGACACAUCUCGAGGGGCCGUGAUGAGCAGCUUCCUGUGGUGAACAGGACACUGAAUGAGUCAGGCCCUGCCGCCUCACGAGAGCACCGUCCAGGCACAGCCAGCAGACACGUCUCAUGGGCACGAGGGCUCGACCAGCCUCUCCAGCCGCGCCAGACAUCAACAGCGCCCAGCCAGCUGGAGAGGACGCAGCGCCCAGUGCUCGAUCUGGGACACCUUGCCAGAAGGGAGAAACGCCUGUGACAGCAGUCAGAGACAUGACUGUUUAGUUGUAUUAGGUUAUUAACUUAGAAUUAUUAGGUUAUGAAGUUAGUUGUAUUAGGUUAUUAAGUUAGUUGUAUUAGGUUAUGAAGGUAGUUGUAUUAGGGUAUGAAGUUAGUUGUAUUAGGGUAUGAAGUUAAUAAAAUCGUUUAAAAUGCCAGGCAGAGCCUUGUGUCAGCAGCCCCUGUGUUCCCUUGGCUGCCCGGCGCUCCUUCAGCUCCUUCCCCCCGCCGUGGCUCUGCCCCCGCGCUGAGCAGAUCGAGCCCCGGGCCGGGCCCUGCGGCUGCUGCUGCUCCCGUGGCGCCUGCGGGGCAGCUCUGAGGCUCUGGGCCUGCUGUGGCAGCAGCAGCAGCGCUGCAGAGCCCGCGGCCCUGAUGGGCUGGGGAGCCGCGGGCACAUGGCCACGGGGCCCGGCUGGCACUGCCGGCGCUGCUGCUCUCGGCUGCCGCCUGAAACGCUCCCAGGCAGCCCUGGCGCCGCCUCAGGAGCCGCCUGGAGCCGGGCCCGAGGGCUGGCCCCGAGCCGGCCGCCAAGCGCACUUGUGCCUUCAUCUGUGCGCGGGGAGAUUCCAAGCUCGUCUGUCAGCUUCCUCCUCGCCUUCCUUGCUGAGGGGCAGCGUUGGCGGCUGGCGCAGCGGCUUUCCUCCCGCACGGCUGGCAGCCCCUUGGCCACAGCUCCCUGUCAGGAGCCAGAGCUGCUUUCCAGCCGG